UACGGAGGGUGCGAGCGUUAAUCGGAUUAACUGGGCGUAAAGGGAACGCAGGCGGGCUUUUAAGUGAGAUGCGAAAUCCCCGGGCUUAACCUGGGAAUAGCAUUUCAGACUGGGAGUCUAGAGUACUUUAGGGAGGGGUAGAAUUCCACGUGCAGCGGUGAAAUGCGUAGAGAUGUGGAGGAAUACCGAAGGCGAAGGCAGCCCCUUGGGAAUGUACUGACGCUCAUGUGCGAAAGUGUGGGGAGCAAACAGG
rnacentral:rRNA from 1 species